AGCAGCCGCGGUAAUUCCAGCUCCAAUAGCGUAUAUUAAAGUUGUUGCAGUUAAAAAGCUCGUAGUUGAACUUCAGGCCUGUCCAGAUGGUCCGCCUUAAUUGGUGUGUACUGUCCUUGGGUGGGUCCUACCUUCUGGCGAAGCGGCAUGGCCUUAGUUGGUUGUGUCGGGGAAGCAGGACUUUUACNGUGAAAAAUUGAGUGUUCAAAGCAGGCAUAUAUGCUCGAAUACAUUAGCAUGGAAUAAUGGAAUAGGACGAUGGUUCUAUUUUGUUGGUUCUAGGACCGUUGUAAUGAUUAAUAGGGAUAGUUGGGGGCAUUAGUAUUCAAUUGUCAGAGGUGAAAUUCUUGGAUUUAUUGAAGACUAACUACUGCGAAAGCAUUUGCCAAGGAUGUUUUCAUUAAUCAAGAACGAAAGUUAGGGGAUC
rnacentral:misc_RNA from 1 species